UACGGAGGGUGCAAGCGUUAUCCGGAUUCACUGGGUUUAAAGGGUGCGUAGGUGGGUCUGUAAGUCAGUGGUGAAAUCCCCGAGCUUAACUUGGGAACUGCCGUUGAUACUAUAGAUCUUGAAUAUCGUGGAGGUAAGCGGAAUAUGUCAUGUAGCGGUGAAAUGCUUAGAUAUGACAUAGAACACCAAUUGCGAAGGCAGCUUACUACACGAUCAUUGACACUGAGGCACGAAAAGCGUGGGGAGCAAACAGG
rnacentral:rRNA from 1 species